rnacentral:rRNA from 1 species
GAUCAUUGCACACACAAG